rnacentral:rRNA from 1 species
GUCGCGGCUCCUCACACGGCUUACGUGCCGCCACGCCAAUGGACCACUUGGACAAAAGAGGCGAUUAUAAAAUACGAGAAGCUCCCUAGGCCAAGACUCCGCGCCACCAAGAACACCAACCAUAGAAAUCCCCAAAGCAAUUUCCAAGUAGAUUUCAUGGCGGGAGCGCUCGAGCCUUUUAUCGGAGAUGCUCCGUCGCCCCAGACGCCGGCCUCUCGCCCCUUCUUCCUGCCCCCGCCUUUCCCCGCCGGAGCCCGCAUGGGACCGGCCCAUGUUCAGCAAGCCCAGGCGCGCCCGCGUCUUCUUCACCCGCAGGCUGGGCUGGCUCCUCGUGCCCAGCCAAUGAAGACCGCAGCAGCGGCGGUGAAGCUGUACCGCGGCGUGCGGCGGCGGCACGGGUGCAAGUGGGUGGCGGAGAUCCGGCUGCCGCGCAACCGGACCAGGCUCUGGCUCGGCACCUUCGACACCGCCGAGGAGG